rnacentral:rRNA from 1 species
UCGAUGUUGGAUCGGGGUAUCCUAGUGGUGCAGCCGCUACUAAAGGUUCGUUUGUUCAACGAUUAAAACCCCACGUGAUCUGAGUUCAGACCGGAGUAAUCCAGGUCAGUUUCUAUCUAUUAAGAGCUUUUUUUAGUACGAAAGGACCUAAACAGCAUAGCCAAUACCCUCUGUAAGCUAUAGUUAAUUACUUUUGACCCACACUCAAAAAAUUAUUGACCUCACCUCACCCUCAAGAAAAGAGC